GGGGAAUAUUGCACAAUGGGCGAAAGCCUGAUGCAGCAACGCCGCGUGAGCGAUGAAGGCCUUUGGGUCGUAAAGCUCUGUCCUUGGGGAAGAAACAAAUGACGGUACCCUUGGAGGAAGCCCCGGCUAACUACGUGCCAGCAGCCGCGGUAAUACGUAGGGGGCGAGCGUUAUCCGGAAUUAUUGGGCGUAAAGAGUGCGUAGGUGGCCAUGUAAGCGCGGGGUGAAAGGCAAUAGCUUAACUAUUGUAAGCCUUGCGAACUGUGUGGCUUGAGUGCAGGAGAGGAAAGUGGAAUUCCUAGUGUAGCGGUGAAAUGCGCAGAUAUUAGGAGGAACACCAGUGGCGAAGGCGACUUUCUGGACUGUAACUGACACUGAGGCACGAAAGCGUGGGGAGCAAAC
rnacentral:rRNA from 1 species